GAUGAAGAACGUAGCAAAAUGCGAUAAGUAAUGUGAAUUGCAGAAUUCAGUGAAUCAUCGAAUCUUUGAACGCACAUUGCGCCCGCUGGUAUUCCGGCGGGCAUGCCUGUUCGAGCGUCAUUUCAACCCUCAAGCCCCCGGGUUUGGUGUUGGGGAUCGGCUCUGCCCUUCUGGGCGGUGCCGCCCCCGAAAUACAUUGGCGGUCUCGCUGCAGCCUCCAUUGCGUAGUAGCUAACACCUCGCAACUGGAACGCGGCGCGGCCAUGCCGUAAAACCCCAACUUCUGAAUGUUGACCUAGGAUCAGGUAGGAAUACCCGCUGAACUUAAGCAUAUCAAUAAGCGGAGGA
rnacentral:misc_RNA from 1 species